AUAUCAGUAAGCGGAGGAAAAGAAACUAACAAGGAUUACCUCAGUAGCGGCGAGUGAAGAGGUAAAAGCCCAAGAUGUUAAUCUGGUAUAAAGUAUCAGAAUUGUAAUCUAUAGGGAUUCUCGGAAGUAUAUAAUAAGUCAUAAGUGGAUUGGAAAAUCCUGCCAAAGAGGGUGAUAGCCCCGUCUUAGGAUUUAUUAUAGCGUACGAGGGUUUUCUAAGAGUCGGGUAGUUUGGGAAUGCAGUCCAAAAUGGGUGGCACAUUUCAUCUAAAGCUAAAUAAUGGCAAGAGACCGAUAGCGCACAAGUA
rnacentral:rRNA from 1 species